rfam:TPA: Bos taurus chromosome 9, whole genome shotgun sequence.
UCCUGUGUGGCUCAGCUGGUAAAGAAUCUGCCUGCAAAGCAGGAGACCUGGGUUCGAUCCCUGGGUUGGGAA